rnacentral:rRNA from 1 species
UGGGGAAUUUUGCACAAUGGGGGGAACCUUGAUGCAGCGACGCCGCGUGAGGGAUGGAGGCCUUCGGGUUGUGAACCUCUUUCGCUCGUGUGCAAGCCGCUAUUUGGGUAGUGGAGAGUGUAGCGGGUAAAGAAGCGCCGGCUAACUACGUGCCAGCAGCCGCGGUAAUACGUAGGGCGCGAGCGUUGUCCGGAUUUAUUGGGCGUAAAGGGCUUGUAGGCGGUUUGUCGCGCCUGUCGUGUAAUCCUCUGGCUUAACUGGGGGUGUGCGGUGGGUACGGGCAGGCUUGAGUGCGGUAGGGGAGAUUGGAAUUCCUGGUGUAGCGGUGGAAUGCGCAGAUAUCAGGAGGAACACCGGUGGCGAAGGCGGGUCUCUGGGCCGUUACUGACGCUGAGGAGCGAAAGCGUGGGGAGCGAACAGG